GAUGAACGCUAGCGGGAGGCUUAACACAUGCAAGUCGAGGGGCAGCAUAGGGUAGCAAUAUUCUGAUGGCGACCGGCAAACGGGUGAGUAACGCGUAUGCAACCUACCCUGUACAGGGGGAUAACCCGGAGAAAUUCGGACUAAUAUCCCGUAAUAAUAUCCGGAGGCAUCUUUGGAUAUUUAAAGUUUCGACGGUACGGGAUGGGCAUGCGUAACAUUAGCUGGUUGGUAAGGUAACGGCUUACCAAGGCUAUGAUGUUUAGGGGUCCUGAGAGGGUGGUCCCCCACACUGGUACUGAGACACGGACCAGACUCCUACGGGAGGCAGCAGUGAGGAAUAUUGGUCAAUGGGCGCAAGCCUGAACCAGCCAUCCCGCGUGCAGGAAGACGGCCCUAUGGGUUGUAAACUGCUUUUCCAGGGAGAGAAACUUACGCACGUGUUGCGUGACUGACGGUACCCGUGGGAAUAAGCAUCGGCUAACUCCGUG
rnacentral:rRNA from 1 species